rnacentral:lncRNA from 1 species
AUGAAGCAGUGCAGUGAUAUUAUGACUCAUCAGGUAAUCAUUGAGAAGAUUUCAAGGCCUUUACGAUAUCAAUUUGAUCAUAUAGUUGUUACUAUCUAAGAAACAAAAAGAACUUGGUGAUCUAAGGUUGAAGAUAUACAAGGAACUCUUGAAGCACAUGAGAUGAAGAUAACUAAAAGGGGAAAUGAAAGACAAGAAGAACAAGCAAAUUUUUCAAAGUUCAAGAAAGAUUGAAAGAAGACUAAAGUUAAAGGUUAUUCAGUGAUCAAACUUUACAAGAAAUAGAGCAUUCAAAACAGUAUCAUAGGUGUGUUGAGAUCCAGUGUUUCUGUGCAACAAUUCAGACAUUUAUGUUAGGGAAGAUCAAUAGAAUUUGAAGAACUGAUUAAAAGUUAGUGGAA